AUAAAUUUGAACUAAUCUAAAGAAUUUAGGAAUAAAAAUUAAUUUCAAUUAUUUCGUAUAUACAUUUUAAUUUGAGGUUGUUUUAAAGAAUAAUAUAAAUGUAUUGUAUUAUAACCCUAGUAUAUACUGACAUUAUCUGGAGGCACUGCAAGAGAUUAUUAUAUUUAUACAUAUAUAAUAUAUUUGUAGUAAAUAGAGAUUAUAAAAAAGAAAAAAAAUGUUGGUCAAAAUUGUAUUUUUUUAAUUUAACCAAAAUACUAAGCCAAAAUAAUAAUGUCUGUUACUAGAAGUGAAUCCAAUGAAUCUAUACAUAGUAUUGAAAUAUGUUCCCUAAAAUCUCCCAUUAGUCAGGCAGAAACGCUUAAAACAGAAGCCAUUACUCACCUUAAAAAUAGGUUAAGUAUUAAGGGAGAAUUAGGCGCUUACGUUAAGAUGCUGAAGACUAAGGGCAAAAAUAUUGCAAAUAAUAUAUGGUGUGGCGAAAGCGAAAUAUUUCAAGGGCUGUUAAAAUUUGGCCGACCUCAAAGCCGAGGAAACGAGAUGAAAUAAUUUUCAAAACAUGGGGUCUGCUCCUCUAUGUGAACAAAAAUUGGAGCAACUGAGGGGUGAAAAUUAUUCCUUAAAGGGACAGUAUACACUCAUUUUCAUAUAACUGCAUGUAAUAGACACUACUAUAAAGAAUAAGAUGCACAGAUACUGAUAUAAAAAUCCAGUAUAAAACUAUUUAAAAACUUACUUAGAAGCUGUCAGUUUGGCUCUGUUGAAAAGGUAGCUGGAAAGCCCACUGCAAGUGGCAAAUAAGACACUCCCCCCCCUCCCCCUUCUUUUACAUAUGAAAAGACCCUUUAUACAAACAGCAGCAAGCUGGAGAAGGUAGCUGACCGUAUUCACAUAAUACUUUGGGGCUUGGUUAGGAGUCUGAAAAUCAGAGCAAUGUUAUUUAAAAAUAAGCAAAACUAUACAUUUAUUUUAAAAAAAAAACUUUAUGGGCUAUAUAAAUAGAUCAUCUACAAAACAUUUAUGCAAAGAAAAUAUGAGUGUAUAAUGUCCCUUUAAGGUUAGAUGAGGAAGAGGCAGAAUGAGUCCAGGAUAAAAUUGAUGAGUUUGCGCAAAACGUGGCCACCUUACAAAAUAUAACCACAGUUUAGUAGCUCAAAUAGAAGAUUGCAUAAACAACGCGCACAAAGCCAAAGAGAGUUAAGUGGUUUAAAAAGGCUGUAUCGUCAUAAUGAAGAAUUUAAACAAAGGCCCCCUAUUGGGUCAGAAAUACACUUCCUAAAUAGACAGUCACCUCCUGUUAUAAAUUCAGGGAACUGCUAUACUUCAGAUGAGGGGAGAAGCUCUAGUAGUGAGUCAGAGGGCGGAGCCAGAUACCCAAAUAGCCCACGUAGUACUAAUCUACGUAGGGGGUCUCCCCAUAGUUAAAAGGGCAGAUAGGAAAUGCUCCAAACCUAUCAAGAAUAUCCCUAGGAAAGCACAAGAUACGUCUAAUAUUGUAUAUGACACCCCUAAAAUAAUUACUUUCUUAAAGGAUGUAGUACCUAAAUUUUCCAAAAACUGAACCACUUCUAUAAUUGACCACCUAGAGAACUAUGAAAAUGCUUUAUCCAUAAUGAAUGUUACUAGUGAGCAGUCAAAAAUUGAAUUUCUGCCCGGGGUAUUUGAGGGUAAACAUCACAAAUUCUUUGCUUCACUCAAGGAUAUGAAUAUUCAUUCCUGGAGUGAAACAAAAAUUCAGUGCAAAAAGGAGUUUGGGCAAUAUUGCACUAAAACCGUUGCGAAAAUAGCUGUAUACGGUUUAAAAUGUAGUGCCAAUCAAAGCCCUAUAGAAUUCCUUUCUGUACUAAAAAGUGCGUACAGUAUGGCCGAAGACUACGCCAUAUCCGAAUGCUCAGAAUUUGUGAAUUUAUUUUACCAAGCAUUGCCCGCGCACAUCAAGCUUAAUUUGGCUAGAGAUUUUGAUGAGAACUGCUCAUUGGAUUGGCUGAUCAAAGAGAGUACAAAGUUAUUCUCUAUUCAGCAGUCCGGUGAACAGGGGGUUAAAAGGGAACCAAGGCCCAGCCCCAAAAUUGUGUCAGAAACUAGGGUGUCACCUAGCCCCCUCAAUUUGGAGUCUAACAAGAAAACUUAUGCGGAAGUUUUAACUCUGCCCCUCCCCCAUCACGGGCCGAGGUGCAGAGAGAAUAUAAUCAAAAUGGGAGGCAUACCCAGAUAAAUAAUUAUCCCCAAAGAGAUGAAUACCCACAAGGUAAUCGGUAGCUCCAUAAAAAUAAAUACCAGAAGUGGCGAAAAUACUCUCAGGGUAACCAGACACCCCAAGUAAAUAGUGCUCCCCAAGAUAUUAACGCUGAACAAGUUGAACCCCAAAGACAACCACAUCAAAAUAGGAACAAUAGAUAUGAUUCUGAGGGAUCCAAGGAUCCAGGAAUCAAUACCCUGGGAUAUCAAAAAUUCGGUCCAUGGGUAGAAAUAGCUUGUCCACUCAAGUGGGCCAACUGAGUAUGCAAGUAAGUUAAUUAUGUACACUAUUUACUAAUAUGAGUCAAGCUUUGACGGCUCAGAACCCUAAUAAUCCUUUUUUAGGGGUACAGCCAGUAACCAGCAGUGGGCCACAGGCACAGUCAUAAAUACUGCGGUAUUACCUGAGAGAGAGGGGAGAGAUAUACAAAAUAAAAUGAUAAAUGUCAAUAAUGGUACUAAUCAUAUUCUCUCCCUACAGACCAGAGACGGACGAUUUAGCUGUGAUGAAGAGCAACCUCAGCCUGAAAGCACUAACAAACCUCUUCCUUUGCAGUAUUCUCUUAACCUUAUUUCCUCAGAUGCAGUACACAGGAACCCUGUCAACCCUAUUACAGUGGAAAGGACUGCUAAGAAUGAAGUUUCUUCUGCAUCAGAUAACGUGGCGAAUACAGAUACACAAUCCGAUCCAGACCUGAUGAUGAUGAGGAUGAUGCCAUCAGCGGAGGGACAGACGUUGUGAGCCCAGAUUGAACGACUACCUCAUGAGCGCAAAAGAGGACUACACUUCAAUCCAGAGAUCUACAAGAAGGCAGCCAGAUGACAGCAGGAUCCCAUCAGAUGACAGCAGGAACCCAUCAGAUGACAGCAGGAACCCAUCAGAUGAUGACAGGAUCCCACGAGAUGACAGCAGAGGUCCUGCCAGUGAUCAAACCCCAGGAGGAAGGGGAUACCACCCCUAAAGGGUCCACAGGACUAAACACUCACCAAUACCUCAAUUUUUUAAGGCAUUCUGAUAAACCCCAAGAGAAAGUCAACAUGCUUCCAAAGACACCAUGAUUAAGGAAGUGCCUUGGAAUCACAUGAAAAUUUGCUAGUGUCCAAGGGGGUUAUUAUAGGAUUACACUUCCUGCACCAAAUGCACAAUGGAGUGCCACCAUCAAGCCUAGAGGUGAAUUGAAAUCCUCAGCUUGACAGGCAGUAAUUUGGCCUAUACUUGGGAUGAUAAGUUGGGAUAAAGACUCAAUUCAAGAGUUUUGAAAUUGUUGUUCUAUCCGGAUCCGAUAACGGGUUGAUCACACUUGAUCCAUCAUCUUGCUGCCGGCUCCACUAUGAAAUUUCCAAACCUGUCUAGUAUUCUCAGCCGUAGAUUCCUCUCCCCUGAUGCUGCAGGGCGGCCAGGAAAUGGAGAGGGGUUGCUGACUGAAGAUACCAGAUGACAAGUAUACUGAGCCUGCAUGUUUACUUUUAAGGAUUUAAAACUAAGAAUCUAAGAUCAUCCGUUGCGACAACAAAUAUAUUUUCCUGCUCAAGCUAUAAAAAGGAGUCAAGCCAAUCCCUCCAUAUGCAUCCUAAAUAUAGUGAAAUUGGAAAGGGGGAUAAGUUGAGUCAUAGGCACAGGGAAAAAUAUUGAAUCUCUUAUCAUUAUAGGCACAGGGAAAAAUAUUACAAUCCUGAUAACAGAAGCACCAUAUUUUUUAAAUGGCAAAAUAUGCUAUAAAAUGCUAUAAAAGUCUAUUCAAAAGACUUCCUGCUCAACCCCCCAUUGUUAAAACUUUGGCUAACUUUUAACACACCAUUUGCCAGGAAACAACCCCUUCUGUGUGUGAACACAGAAGAGAAACCAGGUGGAGUCCCUUUUGUCUAAGACUCUGUUUACGCUCUGGCAGAUGGAAUUACAAACAAAUGUUCUAUCACUCAUAUGAUAAUGAGACACCUACUAUUCUAAAUGACACUCCCUAAUAUGAACUGUAGUAACCUUUAUAAGAAAUUAAAGGUUUAAAUGGUGUAUAUAAGAAUUGGCACAUACAAUUGUGAUAAAUAAUAUAAUUUGGUAUCUAAAUGUAUGAUAAAUUAAAUGUGUAAGGAAAGGACAUGUAAAAUUGACCAAUAUUGCAUUAUGGGUGUACAAGAAUUAUAUCUUUUUAAAAUAACUAUAUGUAUAGAUAAGUUAAAUAUGGAAUUAAGCAUAUGAAAUAACCAAUAUGAUGUGAAUAUAUAUAUAUAUAUACCUGUGUAUCUAUGCUAUAUAUAUAUAUAUACACUAAUUACCUGACCAAAUAUCACCAGUUUAACAUAUACUAAUGAGAAACUAUUGUAAAAUACUAUAUAAUUCAUUAUGCCUCAUCUGCAACAUACACUUAUAUAUGAGAUGCCCACAUAAGAAAAUUCUAUUUAUAUAUAUGAAAUAAAUGUGAUACCACAAUCAAAGAUCGUGCAAAAAAUUAAAAAUAAAAGUUCAUAUAAGGAUAUGCGUGUUCUUGCUGGUAAUCUUCUGCUUUUCAAUAUCUUUAGGUGUUCUCAGAAAAAGGAAACAAAAGAUUGCAACAUAGUGUAACUCUGUAACACCAUCCAGGAUAUAUAUCAAAUUGUGAACAAAUGACUACUCACAUGGGUUGGAGCUUACGACCAAGCUCAAGGAAAUGCGCACACACACUUUAUACUGAGGUUAAUAGAGCAGCAAAUAGUAUUUUAUUGCUCAGAAAAGCUAACUCCCAUUAUGGAUGCAAGUGGAUUCGGG